UUGGAGGGCAAGUCUGGUGCCAGCAGCCGCGGUAAUUCCAGCUCCAAUAGCGUAUAUUAAAGUUGUUGCAGUUAAAAAGCUCGUAGUUGAAUUUCGGGAUCAAUUUAUCGGUCGUGCCUCUGGUAUGCACUGGUAUUAUUGAUUUCUACCUUCUGACGAACCAUGAUGUCAUUUAUUUGGUGUCAUGGGGAAUCAGGACUGUUACUUUGAAAAAAUUAGAGUGUUUAAAGCAAGCACACGCUUGAAUACAUUAGCAUGGAAUAAUGAAAUAGGACGUUUGACCCUAUUUUGUUGGUUUCUAGGAUCGACGUAAUGAUUAAUAGGGAUAGUUGGGGGCAUUAGUAUUCAAUUGUCAGAGGUGAAAUUCUUGGAUUUAUUGAAGACUAACUACUGCGAAAGCAUUUGCCAAGGAUGUUUUCAUUAAUCAAGAACGAAAGUUAGGGGAUCGAAGACGAUCAGAUACCGUCGUAGUCUUAACCAUAAACUAUGCCGACUAGGGAUCGGAUGAUGUUAUUUUUAAUGACUCAUUCGGCGCCUUACGGGAAAC
rnacentral:rRNA from 1 species